GUACUUGCUUUGGUAGCACAUAGUGUAAAACUAGAAAAAUCCAUAGAUUAGCAUGGUCCUUGCACAAGGGUGACACGCGAAUCUGUGGAGUGCUCUACGUUUUG